rnacentral:tRNA from 1 species
GAAGAUAUAGCUCAAGUGGUUAGAGCUCAUGCUUAGCAUGCACAAGGUCCUGGGUUCAAUCCCCAGCACCUCCU